AUUCCAGCUCCAAUAGCGUAUAUUAAAGUUGUUGCGGUAAAAAAGCUCGUAGUUGGAUUUCUGUUGGGGAUGACCGGUCCGUACCACGUACGCGCAUCUGGAUCAGCCACGACAUCCUCACGAUGCACGGUUCUGCGCUUGAUUGCGUGGUUCGUAUCUCGUGACUUUUACUUUGAGGAAAUUAGAGUGUUCACGGCAGGCUAUCGCCAGAAUACAUUAGCAUGGAAUAAUACUAUAGGAUCUCGGUUCUAUUUUGUUGGUUUCUAGCACCGAGGUAAUGAUUAAUAGGGACAAACGGGGGCAUUCGUAUCAACACGUCAGAGGUGGAAUUCUUGGAUUGUGUUGCGACGAACUACUGCGAAAGCAUCUGCCAUGCAUGUUUUCAUUA
rnacentral:rRNA from 1 species